rnacentral:rRNA from 1 species
AACAUUGCCUGGCGAGUUUAUUAUGUCAGGUCCACCCUGCUCAAUGAUUUAAAAUUUAAAUAGCCGCGGUACUCUGACCGUGCAAAGGUAGCAUAAUAAUUUGUCCUUUAAUUGGGGGAUCGUAUGAAUGGAUAAACGAGUGUUCUUCUUUCUUACUUAGAAAAAUUGAAAUUUAUCUGAGAGUGAAAAAGCUCUCAUUCAAAUAAAAGACAAAAAGACCCUAUAGCGCUUUUACAUGAUGGGGUAAUAUUCUUUAAUUGUUUUAGCUGGGGCGGCUCUGGUGAAUAUAAAUCCACCAGGAGAAACGGACUUUGUGGUCUUUUUUAUGAUCUUAAUAAAAUUUACCGAUAAGCCACCUUAGGGAUAACAGGCUAAUAUGCUUUGAGAGUCCAUAUUGACAAGUAUGUUUGGCACCUCGAUGUUGGCUUAGGAAAAUGUUGUGGUGUAGAAGCUACAAAAAUAAGUUUGUUCAACUUUUAAUAUCCUA